rnacentral:rRNA from 1 species
GAUGAACGCUAGCGACAGGCUUAACACAUGCAAGUCGAACGGACUCAUAUUGAAACCUAGUGAAGUAUGAGUUAGUGGCGGACGGGUGAGUAACGCGUGGAAAACCUGCCGUAUACUGGGGGAUAACACUUAGAAAUAGGUGCUAAUACCGCAUAAGCGCACAGCUUCGCAUGAAGCAGUGUGAAAAACUGAGGUGGUAUACGAUGGUUCCGCGUCUGAUUAGCUAGUUGGUGGGGUAAAAGCCUACCAAGGCAACGAUCAGUAGCCGGCCUGAGAGGGUGAACGGCCACAUUGGGACUGAGACACGGCCCAA